rnacentral:sRNA from 1 species
GUUGUGACAUGGUUAUUUUCUUAGAUCGUACAACCAACGUGGUAAUGCUGGCAUAAUAAUUCCCGGUUGCCAUUUUCUGACAUUUGAAAAGAUCUGAAGAUACGCCCCUUGGAUGCCUGCAGAGAAGCUCUGGGGCUUCAGUCAAUGACUCAGGGUAGCCUCCGAACAUGAUGCUCGCAGUGGGUGCCACCUGGACUCCACUCUCCCCUCUCUCUGGGAUCAUAGAGUCCAAGGUGUUCUGUGGCCUCUCGGCCAAUCCCAGCAGCUCAGCGUGCAGAAGACUGAGGAGCCAUUGGUCAGUGUAGGAGGUGCCUGGAGUUUUGGAGAUGGGAUCCACAGGAAUUCAACACAACACGAAAUAAUCGACAAAUUCGGGGAAUGUUAAUCUGACCAUCCCCAGUUACAAAUGAUGUUUCAUGCUACCUUCUAUUCCUGCCUUCAUAAAUCAAGCUCUAAAUCUCCAGGAAAAAGUGCGCUCAGGAUCGCCAGAGAAAUGUCCUUCCAACUGUGCAUGGAAAGCAAGGACAGCAAAGCCUUCCAGACCUGCCUGUGACAUGCACUGCACAUUCUAAAGAUGCCUGUGCAAUGGAAAACACCACUGUCUGCUCCAGCACAGCUGCCAUUCUUCCAUCUUAUCGACCUUAAUGCAACAACUCCUCACAGGCAGAGAUUUUAAAAUGUGUUCUUGGCAGAAGAGAGACUCAAAGAUGGGACAAAUGGGUCAUUUAAGUGCCUGUUAAAAUGGAAACAGACAUAGUAUAGUCAGAGGAUUGUGGCAGCUAAGAACAUAGUCUCUGGAGCAAAUCUGCACGGGUGGCAACGCCAAGCACAUGAGGUCCUAAGUUGUAUGAACUUAGGAAAAGAAAAAGAGAACAUAUAUCCCCCUACCUUUUGAUUUCCAACAGUCUACUGAGAGGCCAAAAUUAUUUGCAGGGAAAGAAAAGGGGAAUGCCAUCCCCACCCUCUCGCAGCUACAUGCCAGUUCCAGAGCAC